GUGCAAGCCGUUCAGCGAGGCUGAGCCUGUGUGGCACUGUCCUUUCCUUGAGUGCUUGCUAGAGUGACAAUGGGGUGGUUUGAGGCCUUGGCAUGCCUGAUCCUUGACAAGGUUAUAGGUAAACCUCAGACAACA